rnacentral:rRNA from 1 species
UUGAAGAGUUUGAUCAUGGCUCAGAUUGAACGCUGGCGGCAGGCCUAACACAUGCAAGUCGAACGGUAACAGGAAGAAGCUUGCUUCUUUGCUGACGAGUGGCGGACGGGUGAGUAAUGUCUGGGAAACUGCCUGAUGGAGGGGGAUAACUACUGGAAACGGUAGCUAAUACCGCAUAAUGUCGCAAGACCAAAGAGGGGGACCUUCGGGCCUCUUGCCAUCGGAUGUGCCCAGAUGGGAUUAGCUAGUAGGUGGGGUAACGGCUCACCUAGGCGACGAUCCCUAGCUGGUCUGAGAGGAUGACCAGCCACACUGGAACUGAGACACGGUCCAGACUCCUACGGGAGGCAGCAGUGGGGAAUAUUGCACAAUGGGCGCAAGCCUGAUGCAGCCAUGCCGCGUGUAUGAAGAAGGCCUUCGGGUUGUAAAGUACUUUCAGCGGGGAGGAAGGGAGUAAAGUUAAUACCUUUGCUCAUUGACGUUACCCGCAGAAGAAGCACCGGCUAACUCCGUGCCAGCAGCCGCGGUAAUACGGAGGGUGCAAGCGUUAAUCGGAAUUACUGGGCGUAAAGCGCACGCAGGCGGUUUGUUAAGUCAGAUGUGAAAUCCCCGGGCUCAACCUGGGAACUGCAUCUGAUACUGGCAAGCUUGAGUCUCGUAGAGGGGGGUAGAAUUCCAGGUGUAGCGGUGAAAUGCGUAGAGAUCUGGAGGAAUACCGGUGGCGAAGGCGGCCCCCUGGACGAAGACUGACGCUCAGGUGCGAAAGCGUGGGGAGCAAACAGGAUUAGAUACCCUGGUAGUCCACGCCGUAAACGAUGUCGACUUGGAGGUUGUGCCCUUGAGGCGUGGCUUCCGGAGCUAACGCGUUAAGUCGACCGCCUGGGGAGUACGGCCGCAAGGUUAAAACUCAAAUGAAUUGACGGGGGCCCGCACAAGCGGUGGAGCAUGUGGUUUAAUUCGAUGCAACGCGAAGAACCUUACCUGGUCUUGACAUCCACGGAAGUUUUCAGAGAUGAGAAUGUGCCUUCGGGAACCGUGAGACAGGUGCUGCAUGGCUGUCGUCAGCUCGUGUUGUGAAAUGUUGGGUUAAGUCCCGCAACGAGCGCAACCCUUAUCCUUUGUUGCCAGCGGUCCGGCCGGGAACUCAAAGGAGACUGCCAGUGAUAAACUGGAGGAAGGUGGGGAUGACGUCAAGUCAUCAUGGCCCUUACGACCAGGGCUACACACGUGCUACAAUGGCGCAUACAAAGAGAAGCGACCUCGCGAGAGCAAGCGGACCUCAUAAAGUGCGUCGUAGUCCGGAUUGGAGUCUGCAACUCGACUCCAUGAAGUCGGAAUCGCUAGUAAUCGUGGAUCAGAAUGCCACGGUGAAUACGUUCCCGGGCCUUGUACACACCGCCCGUCACACCAUGGGAGUGGGUUGCAAAAGAAGUAGGUAGCUUAACCUUCGGGAGGGCGCUUACCACUUUGUGAUUCAUGACUGGGGUGAAGUCGUAACAAGGUAACCGUAGGGGAACCUGCGGUUGGAUCACCUCCUU